rnacentral:misc_RNA from 1 species
AAAUGCGAUAAGUAAUGUGAAUUGCAGAAUUCAGUGAAUCAUCGAAUCUUUGAACGCACAUUGCGCCCGGCAGUAUUCUGCCGGGCAUGCCUGUUCGAGCGUCAUUUGUACCCUCAAGCUCUGCUUGGUGUUGGGUGUUUGUCCCCGUCUCCGCGCGUGGACUCGCCCCAAAGUGAUUGGCAGCCGGCGUACUGGUCCCGGAGCGCAGCACAUGUCGCGCAAACGAGUGCCUUGGUACGGCGGCGUCCAUAAGCCCCUCUCUCACGCUCUUGACCUCGGAUCAGGUAGGGAUACCCGCUGAACUUAAGC